rnacentral:lncRNA from 1 species
CUCAAGUGACAGGCGGGCAAAAAGCUUCUAUUAAAAAUUUGAUGUUGGUGCUCGAGCGAGAGGCUAGCAACAGUAAGUGAUGCUUUCUUCCAUAAAAUUGCGAGAUUUGAUGCGUAUCGCUUCACCCACAACUCCCCAUCCUCUAUAAAUAGGGCACUUUGGACAUCCAUAAUGCAUCCCAUAUCAUUUUUGCAUUGAAUCUCCUGCAAAAUCAUCCAUAUCAUCUUCCUUCUAGAGGGGGAAAUUUUGUCAAAAAGUUUGCUGGACUCGUGGUUUGAAGUGCUUCUACCACAAGUCGUAUUCAUUGCAUCUUGGGAGACAAGUGCCGUAAUUUGUGAGCAUCGUUGUGAGAAAAUAUUGUCUUAAGAAAAGAGUGAUUAUCACUUGCCUCGGAUUCUUCUUUUUUCAAUUCUUGUUUCCUUUCUUUUUGUGGUCUAUUGAUUUAUUCAUAGUCCCAACCCUCUUGUGGUCAUUUUUCCUCACACCUCUCGUGUAACAAUAACUCCUUAUGCUUUUCUCUCCAAUCUUGAGGUAUUUCUAGUAUAUAAGGGGCUUCUAAAAAUCAUUAUGAUGCAUUUUUCCGCACAAGUGUUUAGAAUUAGAUACUUGUAAACCUAGAAAGAGAGAUAGUAAGUCUUUCUCAUAACCACACCGUCAAUCUUUAGAAUUCAAAUCUCAAAGUCAUUACUAGGCACAUCUCACUUUUGAUAAAUUAUAUCUCAAUUUUUCUUCUUCAUUUUUUUUUUGACAUCUCCUGUGCAAGACUUCUCUUUAUUAAGUUUUCUAAAUGACCCAUGUAGCGAGCUUUAUGUCGAUGACUCCCAAGUCAGACGACUAUAGGGCAUCAGGUUUUUAGAUACCCUUGCAAGUUUAAUAACCCGAGUCAAAAAGGCUACGAAAAUAAGUAGAAGAUGUGUUGCAUUUUCUUUUGAUAUGAGAAUCCAACUGUUUAUUUAUUUAUUAUUAUUAUUUUUUAUGUACAAAGCUUCAAAAGCUUGAUUGCUAAAAUCCUACACCGCAAGUGCAUGGGUCGCGUUCAAGUAAUAAAGUGGAUAUUUUGAGUUCAAGUAUCGUCCCACAGAGAUUGUAUUAGUUUAAAUUUAAAUUAUCUACGCCUUAACCGAAACAAUAGAAAUUUUUCGCUAACUAAAUUAUAAUUUAAUAACUUACUUAUAAAUAUAAAGUCUAAAUUAACUAAAUUAAAUGCGUGAUUAUAACUAAAUGCAAGUUUUAUAAAAAUAUGAUAACGAAAUGCGUAUUAGGAUCCCGAAUCCCCU